AUUGUAACCAAGCGUCGCCCAAAAAAUACUCAUUUUUUAUACAAUGGGUUCUAUAUUUCGUAUAUAUAUAAGAAGUUUUUUACUUUUCUUAUUAUUAUAUGUUAAAUGAAACCAAAAAUACGAAAUGGGCAGAAAAAUUGAGUAUAUCAAUGGAACAACUAAGGAUGUGGAAAACAAGACAGGAAUUCUCUACAAUGACACUGUAGAACAAUUGAAGGGAUGUGGCGCAGUGGGCUGCAAUUUG
rnacentral:lncRNA from 1 species